AAAAUUUUUUGGCUUCAAUAUUUAAUAUAUUUUCAUAAUUGGUGGUAGCAUUUAUUUUAAAUAUUAAAUUUGAUAAAAUUUAUUAUUUCCUAAUUUGAAGGAAAAUUUUUAUGGACAAAUUAAUGAAAUUAAUCAUUUGUUUAAAAAAAUGAAAUUAAUCAUUAAAAUUAAGAUUUUUAAUAAUUAAAUAAAUAAAUAAAUCAUUAAAUCUGUAUAUCUAAUUAAAAAAAAU
rnacentral:misc_RNA from 1 species